rnacentral:tmRNA from 1 species
GGAACGUAACAUCACCCGGAUGCUGUGGCUCCGAAGCUUUCCGAUCAGGUGGUGCGGCAAUAUCGGAGAUAGUCGAAAGAAAUCCUCGUGUUUUCGAUGAAACUUUAGAGGAUAAGGUUAGAGUUGGUAGCUUCGGUCUUGCUCUUUCCCGACAACCAAAGCGAAGAUAAACAUGUAGAAAGCAAAUUAAUUCCUCGUUUGGACGAGAGUUCGAAUCUCUCCAGCUCCACAG